AUGAUUCAUUUUCUGCGGAUGAUAAGCCCAUCUGUCAGGUUUGUGGUGCUCUGCCUGGAGCUGCAUCAACCACUGCCACCAGCAAUAUGGGCACAUCCUGCCUCUUGGCAGCCGAGGGUGACACAGUCAGGAGAGGAAGACACCACCACAGAGGCAGAGAAUGCAAGAAUAAUACAACGUGCAAAAAGCCACUCACUCCUGGUGACCUUGGAGUAGCAUCUACAUGUAGAGGAACUGGAAGAAGCCUAGAAAGGACAAGUAUAUCACACAAAUGCAU
rnacentral:lncRNA from 1 species